rnacentral:other from 1 species
UCACUCCUGCUCGGUGCGUGAUGGUUUCUUUUUAAACCCACAUCUCUGAAACGGGACGCCCCCCUCGCGCCGUGGCUUGCAGGCCUCCCGGCACAGGCGAAGCCUGUGCCGGAAGUUGGAAGCAGUAAAGCGGCGCGGAGGCGACCCACCUGCCGUUGCGUGCAGGUUUUAAUCAGGGCCACACGGCCAGAGCGGGAGCUUU